AAUUGGCACUAAUUGUCUAUGGCAAAAGAUAGCCAGAACUAAUAGGCAUCCCUGGGUCCCUUUUCUUCUAGGCUAGGCUGUGGCAGUGUCUAGAUCAAUAGCAGCUCCCACUGUUUGUCUUUACCAGCAAGAAGCCACUCUCUGCCUCUGGGAGAGCUGGGCUCCACUCCUCUUUGGAGCAAUGUUCCCGUAUUCAGGGUUGCCCUCUCAGAUAUGAUUCAUCCCUAACUUUUCCACACAAGGAAAGCUCCCAAUUUAAAAUUCUCCACUUGAGUCUAUGCUUCGAAAUAUGAGGCCAAGUACGGAAGAUGGUAAGAGGAAGGGGAGUCAACAGAGCCUUGGAGAAGGAGUUUGUAGCUUAGGCCAGUGAGUCAGCUGUGCUGUCUGUGUGCACGGGGAAAAAUGGCAAACAGUGGCUUGGAGCGUCGCUCAAGGCUCAGAGAACCCACAGGGUAAGGCAUGCAGUGGCAACCCAGUUCCUGGUUGCAGUGUUUUGAGGCAGGAGUGUUUCCUCCCUAGUCUUGCUUCUCAGAAGAUGUCUACUCUGAGAUCAGAGGAUGGCGGAGAAAGAGCAGCUCCUUCUGAUGGCUAGCCCACAUGCAGGCUGACUCUGGGGAAAGCCCCUUGAUAAAGUAGGGCCCAUUUCCUGCUCUUUGGAACAGAGAUGUCCCUGAGAAAGGCCUGCACUUCAUUUCUGCUUUGUCACCUUGUGCAAUCUGUGACAACGACCACUCUUCACCAUGAAGAUUGUCCAGACACACCUCACACUCUUGAGUCAAUGCCAGUAAGCAAAUGAGAAAAGAUUAGAGUACCCACUCUCUUUGCGCUAAGAGAGCUCGUAGGCUCCUAGGACUUAGCAUUUAGUCACCAGCUGGUGGCACUGUUUUCGGAAGCCUUGGAGCCUUGAAGCGGGUCACUGGCAUUAGGCCUUGAGGUCUACCAUCCCCACUCCCCAUUCCAUCUCUGCCCCAUGUUCUGCCAAAUGUAAGGCGUUCCAGCUACAGUGUCCCACUGUCAUGGAGCUACCUACAACCAGGCCUUCCCCUCCGUGAAUAGGAUCGCCCUCUUCAGUUGCUUUUGUCAGUUACUCCAUUCCAGAUGUGAGAAAAACCAACCAAUAUAGCAUGGAAAUCCAGUCCCUAUGUGGUCAGUGACUGGUGGAGGCCCAUUGUCCUAUUAGCCAAGGUGUGUAUCAUCAGUGAGUCGCGCCCUGGCCUUUCCAGAGGUCAGAAGCCGUUUCUUUUUUUAAGAGCAGCCUCAGUGACAAUAACCAAACAACCAGUAUCACAGCUAUUAUAUUUCCCUGUGGCUGGUCAAGAGCAGUGCUCAGUGGGGAAGCUGACAUCAAGGGCUAUCAGACCUAAAGACAGCUCCUGAUGACACACAACUCAAGUAUCCACAGAUUAACCCACUUUAGGUAUCAAGAUACAUAAAAGAGUUGUUGCUUUUUAAAGAUCUGUCCAUGAUUCUUGACAUCAAAACUCAUCUAAAUGUAUGGAUUGCCCUGGCAUACACAAUGAGGGUCUCCAAAGAUGUUCCCAAGAGCAGCCAUCCGGUGGCAGGUGAGGCUGUCAAUAGGCUUCCCUUUCCGGAAGCAAUUCACUCUGCAGCUAGCCUACUUGGUUGCAGAGGGGGGGGGCAGACAUCACUUACUAGCUCUCAACCAGUACUCUCAGCUAUGGGUGGUUCAAGUCAUUCCCAAGAGAAAUGACUCAAUUAUGUGAGGACACCGCAAAAUCACCCAGUAGAAGAGAGGGCGUUCUGCUUCUUGGACUUACCAGUAUCGAUGGGAUCCAAACGCAGCUGCGGCUCACCAUGGCCAAAGACUGUCUUCUCCUCGGAUGGAAAAUUUUCAGGUAGAUCUGAGCUGUCUUCCGUGGCUGGGAUUCUUUCGUCCGGGGUGUCAUAGAGGCAGAGAGGGCCUAGUGCCGUUACUGUGAGAUGCGCAGGACUCUGCCGCAUGUGCCCCAUCGCUCCCCCUCCCCCCAGAUCCUCUUGACAGUUGGUACCAUCCAAAGCCCCAUGGUGUAUGUCAGGGGCAGGUGGCCGAGAAAGGCUGAAAGGAGAGGCUUGAGCUAAAGGACCAGGUCACACUCCUCUAGGGGACUGAAUUUCACCACCAAUAGAGGGUCACAGACUCCAGAUCCACACUGGCUUGCUCUUCAGUUUGGGCUCUGUCAUGUAACCCUGACCUUGGACACCUCGCUUAACUUCCUUAAGUGCCGCUAGGCCUGUCUACAAGAGGGAGUAGAGGGCUGGCGCAGCCUGCUGUUUGGGGCUGCUAUGACGCACAGGACCCAGAACGAAGCUCACUCUAGUCCCUAAUAAAAGAGUAGUGACACAUCAGCAAAGCUGCAGCUUCUGCUGGACUCUUGGGUCCAGGGACAGGUGCAAAAAGUACACCCAGUCCCUGAGGCCAGAGGACCUGUCAACUUGGGAAUGGCUAUAGACAGAGCAACUGCACCUAACUGACACCUAUCAACCUAUAUUCCUGCUCUCAGCGCUGUCUGUCUCCUCUACUUAGGUGUCACUCGGGUUGCAUAAUGCCUUUGCAGGAAGGAAGAGAAAGAUCCAGCUCAAAAGGAUGUGCUGGAUGUCAAAAGGAUGGUGGAAGAAUGAGGGUGACGGCAUGAACAAGGAUCAGGACAAGUUUGGCUUCCUUGAAACCGUUCUCAUCACUCUCCUUUCCCAACCUUGCCAGACCUGCAGAAUCACAGCCUGCCUUUGGGUGUGUGAGAAGUCAUUCGAGUGGACCAAUGGACCUCUGGGUCAUUUUUGUCCAGCAACUCAGCUUGGCAGGUGACAGCAUUUGUGGAAUAUCUGCCACAAAGCAGGGACCCAUACUCUCUUAAGUCCUGAAACUAUCCUUAUUACAACAAAACCUCCUUAUAAUGGCUUCUCCUCCGUCUCGUCAUCACCAAGGCUGAGUGACUCUGGGGGAAACAAUUCUUCCCAUCUGUGAGCUCUUCCCAUCUGCUGUUUGAUUCGUCUACAUCUAAUGAAGACACUUUGGAAGAUUGUCCAAGCUCCACAAAAGAAUGAAUCUCUAAUGGUGGAAAGUCAAGCAUCCGAUACUGGGUUGUGCAACUGUGAUCUUGGAGCGGUUCCAAAGGUGCUCCCAAGUGAUUCCAAACCUAUAAAAAUCAUUCCACACUGGUGUAUAAUUAUAGUUAUAUAAUUCUAACUCUUUUACCAACUGCUAAGUUGUACCCUGGUAAAUUAGCUUCAGAAAAAAGCAUGAAGCUAUGGGAAGGAAGGGGACGGGGAAAGGGGUGUUUAGGAUCAGAAGAAUGUCAAAUUCUAGUCCCAGUUGUACACCAUGUUGCUGAAAGAGGCAAGGUAGUGAGUGGGUUAGUUAAAUCAGAAGGACCCCUGAGGAAUUGGGGCUGGUGGCAGCUACAAUCUGGGUGUGCCAUUAAGGUCCUCUGUGCCACCAAGUUGCACUUCCUCCUCAACAUUUAGAGGUGUUUGGGCAAGUGAAAUCUGUAGGUCUUACUCAAGUCUUCGCUAGUAUUAAUAUUGUGAGUCCUGUGGAUGAUGUUCAAAGUACAGACACUGUCCCUAGCUCUCUAGGCAGGCAAGGGAAAGAAGGAAUUUAGGAAGCUUGAGUACCCAGGCCUCAAGUAUUGGGUCUCAGGAAUGUCCAGCCAUACUUGUUUUCAAAUUUUAUUUUGAAAAACAAAACAAGACAAAAAAAAAAAAAACAGUAGAAACAAUAUGUCUUGCUGUCAAGCCAGGCUUGAAGACAUGUUGCCUCAGAACUGGACCAUUACCCAUGGACAUUGGAAGGGAUGUAUUGGAGAAAUGCAUCUGGAGACUAGUACUUCUGGGUAUUCAUCAACAAGGUAACCCCUUUCGUCUUUCAACUCCAUUUUACAAGUCUCAGCCACUACCACACAUCUAUUGUAGUUUCCUCUAGCUGUAUUCAGAGGUUUUUCAGUGGAGAUAAGGCACAUGAAGCAUGCCUAAAGAGUCAGAAAGCUGAACUUGACACUCUACAGCAGCUAUAAUAAUCAGGAGGGCAACGAUGGCAGGAGGCCGAGUGCAUGUCAUCACUGUUCUUGGACGGAUGAGAUAAUCCUGAUGCUGGACCUGUCCUAAGUCAUAGUGGGUCUUCAGGGGAGAUGUGUAAAUUUCUUGAUUAACAGCAAGAAAUGCAGGUGAGUUUUCCUGGUGUAUACUGUAGCAACUGCCUCCUUAGGAGUAUCUCAAAGACAAAAAAGCAAAGAAAGAUGAUUAGCUAAGGAGACUGCUUUCAAUUUGAUUCUGCUUGGAGCCAGGACAAGACAUUGUGGCUCUGAGAGCCCCUUAUCCAGUGUACAUGCAUGAUUACAAUAAAGGGCUUCAAAUUGGUGGCCAGGGUCAUGGUACAAGUUGGAACACAAUCAGCUAAGCACAGCAUCUGCUCUCCCUCAGAUCUGCAGAGGUUGGGGACAAUGAGGAACAAGUGGCAAGAUGACAAGAGGAUAAAGUGGGACUCUCUUCUGCAAGAACCGGGACCAGCUAUGAACUGCAGACACUACCAGGGAAGCAUAAACUCAAGCUGGAAACACAGCCUCACUUGGCUUUUCCCAAACACAACAAACAGUAGGCAAAGGACAGAAAUUUGAAGGUGAAGAAUUAUUUUAAUAAAAAAAAUUGCUUCUGAAUUCUGCUCUGUGGAGGGGCUUCCCCUAAGGGAUCCAGAAGGACUUCCUGUACCUUUCUUUGUGCUGGGACCUUGGCAUAUACAUGCAGCUAGACCAGCCUCCUUUCCAUUCACAGCCCCACCCAGGAAGGCUGCCAAAGGGGAGUGCUGUAGAUCAGCCCUGGACUUCCAGAAGCUACAGCCUCCCAAAAAAGCCUCCAAGUCUGCCAGAGCCUCUUUCUGACUAGCCUCCUGCCUCCAUCCAUCAGGGCUGACCAUGCCUCUAGAAUGCUAAGGGACUGGGUGCAUUAAGAGACCUGAUCCAUGCCUCCCUCUGUUCAGUGGGGUAUGUGCCUAUGGUCCUGAGCAAUCCAGUUUGCCUCUGUUCUUCCAAUAAGAAAAGUUACUGAGGUGUGUUUACAGCAAACAACAACUUCCAUUUGAGGAGAGACAAUUUUCCCAGUCUCACUUCUAGGUGCUCCAAAGUGAAUUUAAGGGACAGCAAACAUCUAACAAAAGGGUACAAUCCCAGGCAGGCAGCCAGAAGGCCUUUUUUUUUUCCAAAGAUUUUUUUUUUUUAAUGAUGUGUACUUGUGGGUAUGGGUACGUGCAUGAGUGCACCUGCCCUUGGGAGCCAGAGGAGGGCAUCAGAUCUCCUGGGGCUGAAGCUACAGACAGUUGUAUGAGCCACACGAUGUGGGUGCUAAGAACUGAGCUCAGGUCCUCUGCAAGAGCAGCAUGCGGUCUUAAAAUACUGAGCUAUCACUCCAGUCCUCCGUCCUCCAAAGUAGUCAUAAACGUCCCUCAGGUGCAAAAAAAUCUGAGACCCAAGCAUGAGACAAGUCUAUACUACACUUUUCAUACAUGCAGUCCCCCUGCAAGACCUCUCAAGACUAAGAGACUAAGGACUAACCGCUGCUACAGUCUAUCUAGUCACUGAUCUCCAAAAGAACUCGGUUCACACGUCCUCAGCUACCCCUUGGCUGGUGAAUACAGAGGGCUGCCUUACUUUGCUGUCUGUAAAGCCCAAGUGUAUAGAACUAGCAGAGUAAUCUCUUGACUCCUUUUUCCAUGGUUUCGCUUUAAAAUAAUGACCUUUAGUGAAGUGUGUUUAUGUGUGUGCAUGCUUGUGCCAGUCAGGGAAUAAUGAACUCUGACCCCAUGAGACCCAACGUAACUUUUUGGCCACGCAUUUGCUAUCAUUUUGAUGGAUAGAUAGCACCGGCCGCAGUACCUUUCCCGCCUCCACAGAUUUCGUGGUUCCAUUGCUCUUUUGCAUGUAGACCGCUAGAGACUGGUUGUCACUCUCGUACUUGUUCCGUUUGGCAUGUUCUUCCCCACUUCUCUGCCCCAACCCUUUCUUUCUCAUGCUGCCUUAGUACCAUGAUGUGUUUGGUCAUGGAUGUUCUCUGAAGCGUACUACUUGGCCCUUGGUCAUGCUAUUUCACGUUUGGGUUUUUAUCUUGUUUCAAUUCUACUGCUUCUAUUUUUACUUACCCCCCCACCACCACCACCCUAUUCUCUAAAACUCUUUAUGGAGAAAUGCUGAACUGGCCAGACACACCUCCCAUCUCAACCCUUGACUUUCCAACUCUCUUUUCUCUCUGCUAUCUGGAGGAAUCUGAUGGUUUUAAGUGUUGAGCAACUUUGUUCCCCAGGCCUCUCUGUGCAUCCGCUAGCCACGUUUCAGAGUUGCAAUCUGCUUACCCCGCCACCUUUCCUUUGCUGUGAACUGUUUAGUCAGUACAUCUCUGAUUCCUCAUACACAAUGUUCAUUAGUUUGUGGAAAAGUCUCCGUGAGCCUGGCAACCAGGAGAUAGGUGCCAUGUACGUACCGUAAGCAAGUUUUGCUUCCUUCUGUCCGAUACGGGGAAGGUGUCUGUCGUCAGUAGAGUGAGGACUCAGGGAUGCCUUGUCUUUUGGCUUGUGUAGACCCUGCGACCCAGUCACCCGAGAAGUCUGAGUCAAUCCCAAUGAUGGAACAAUCACUUUGACUAUCUGAUUAUCCUGGGAGCCACGGCUACUCACUCUACCAUGUACUUUGGGCAACCCUUCACCCUCCAUCUGCCAUGUAGUAGCUCAGGACACAUUUUCCCAGCAGUGUUCAUAGCAAUGCUUCCUUCAGAAAACUGACUCCACUAACCCCAUGUUUCAGAGAUUUCUUCCACAUUUAAUGCAUCAAAACAAGUUUCUGUUUACUGGCCCCUGUUCGUGGUUUUAAAGCAUACACUUCUUCGGGAAUUUGAAUGGAAAGGUGAAGUUGUCACUUUUGCUUAAUCACUCCUCUUGGGACAAAAGACAUGAUAUGUUCUCAAUAAAUAGUUGUU